GAUCAUAAAUAGUCCGUAAGGUCACAGUUUACUCCCAAUAACCCAUAACUUUGCUCAAAGCAUUUCAUCAAAAAAAACUCCGAAGGAUUCUGGUGAACAAAUAAACGAUUAACAUUACUUUUGAAAAAAAACUACUGUCAUUUAACUCUUUGAGGACCGGCCAUUUUUGAAGCUAUCAAGCAAAUUCUCUUUACACUUCCACGAUGGUUCAAGGGUGCCUACACUUCGCCUAUGGAUAUCUUGACACAAACGGAUUUGGGAUUUUUAAGCACUUGGCCGUGUUUUAUUUCGGAGAAAGGCCACGCGUUUAUUUCUGGUGUGAAAGAGUUAAAUGCGGUUCUGAGCGGAGGUUCCUGUUAACUUGCGGCAGCAUAACUCAGACUGGGGGACUGAGGGUCAAGGACAAGAAUUGGAGUUGUUUCCCAACUAGCUCUGGAAGGAAGCCAGCACCCUGAUGCUCAGUUCGUUUCCCAGAACGUGGUGCCUGGACAGGACCAGCCGCUCGCUGGUUGGCCAGACUCGGCCCUCUCCAAGACAGGCAUUUUCGCCCACAGAACUGCCGCUCUCUGGAUGUCUUUGCCCUUACUCCAUUCUCUGUAAACCCUGGAGACCAUUGAGCAUGAAAAUCCCAGGAGAUCAGCGGUCAAACAACCCGGUCUGCAAUAAACAAUCCAUGGCUAUUGUCGCUUCCCCAUUCUGAUGUUUGGCCUGAGCAACAACUGAACCCCGUCUACUGCCUUCGUCACUGGUUGACAAGCCACUACAAUCCUCAAUUCUCCCCUUAUUUUUCCGUUCCUCAGAAACCUACCAUUUGCCUUCCUCCACACAACUCUUAUCACCCAGUACCACCUCCCAUUCACUGCCUCCAUCUUCCUCAUCGCUUCCGGACACCUCUACCCCACAAACCUCGACCGAAACCCUCUAUCCGAAUCCACACAGUUGCAACAGGAUCACUGUGCUUCGUGGGCCCAAAUGAAUCCCUUGACUGUGGCUGCAUGCUUUUACGCAUCGAGUUCCUGCUACCUAAUUGGCUGAUUAGAUAUUUACAUUAAUGAGAAGGUGUACCUAGCAAAAUGGCCACUGUAGCUCCAAAACAUAAAAACUAACUGCUGGGAGAUAAGUCACGUACUUCAUUUUCACUUUUAGCGAGAAGCGCAUAUAUGACAUGGGAGUGUCUGACUUAUGCAGUUCAUUUAUUUUUACAUAUUAACCUGUAAUGAAUUAUUUAAACAAACAGGAAUGCUCAAUCAAACAAUAUACUUACAAGAUUUCUCAAAUACUACUGAAAUACACAACAGCCACUGAGUUUAUCUUGGUACAUGUGUAAUGCCCUUGUUAAGAAUAUGCUUUAUUGUAUUCCUACUGCUAUGCUGGUAGGUAUUUUGUUUCAGCUACUUUUCUGCUAAACACAGUGUGUUCUAUUAAUUAAGCUUCAUAGACCAGUGUUUUGGUUUCUAAGUCGUUUGCUCAGCUUUGGAAUGUUGUGUCAGCUGAGUGGGUUUAUCAUGGUAACAUGCUGUAACAUUCAUUCCAGUGUGAUGUCAUGGAACAAUUUGGGAGAGCUGGGCAGGAUCAAAUUUCUGAAGGACAGUGGGCUGGUUUUGGUUCUUUGUUUGUAGGAGGUACAAAGCGGAGCACAAGGGAAGACACUUGCUGAAUACCGCUCGAAGGACAGACGCCGUUGUAAGAAGUGCUUAGUACAGAUCAAUGGCUCCAAGCAGGGAAUGCCAAUACUCCUGAGUUAGCCAGUUCGUUCGAGAUGGUCUUCGAGAGAAGUUCAAACUGUGGUUGGUUCCCCUACAUGCAGAACGUGGGUUCAGCGUGCAAGUAAUCAAAGUGACACAUCCUGGCCACUCCAGAAAUGAGCUCCAACGUUCAUGUGCACAUUUAGACUGGUUUAAUUGUAAUGGGCACUUUUUCUUUUGUCCAUUAACUGUUUGUUAAAUUUGAAAUAUCUAAAAUAUACUUCCACUUCAAUUUUA